AGGACGAACGCUGGCGGCGUGCUUAACACAUGCAAGUCGAGCGGAAAGGCCCUUCGGGGUACUCGAGCGGCGAACGGGUGAGUAACACGUGAGUAAUCUGCCCCUAGCUCUGGGAUAGCUCCGGGAAACCGGGAUUAAUACCGGAUACGACCACCUUAGACAUCUUUUGUGGUGGAAAGAAUUUCGGCUAGGGAUGAGCUCGCGGCCUAUCAGCUUGUUGGUGGGUAACGCCUACCAAGGCGACGACGGGUAGCCGGCCUGAGAGGGCGACCGGCCACACUGGGACUGAGACACGGCCCAGACUCCUACGGGAGGCAGCAGUGGGGAUAUUGCGCAAUGGGCGAAAGCCUGACGCAGCGACGCCGCGUGGGGGAUGAAGGCCUUCGGGUUGUAAACCCCUUUCAGCAGGGACGAAGCGAAAGUGACGGUACCUGCAGAAGAAGCGCCGGCUAACUUCGCGCCAGCAGCCGC
rnacentral:rRNA from 1 species